CGACUCUCGGCAACGGAUAUCUCGGCUCUCACAUCGAUGAAGAACGUAGCGAAAUGCGAUACCUGGUGUGAAUUGCAGAAUCCCGCGAACCAUCGAGUCUUUGAACGCAAGUUGCGCCCGAGGCCCUCGGGCCGAGGGCACGCCUGCCUGGGCGUCACGCCAAA
rnacentral:rRNA from 1 species